AAAUAAUGAAAAUACUUUUUACAAUAAUAAGUCUAAGUAGUAGUAAUUAUUUCUUAUAUUACGAUGGAUCAUAAAAUAGAUUUAGAGGAAUAAAAAAAAUUAAAUAACAAAAAGAAAGAAAGAAAGAAAAUUAAACAAAUCAAUUAAAUCGAUAAACCAAUCAGGAAGAGUAACUCGCUUCAAGGUUUAUAACUAAUUUUGGAUUAUGUGUCUAGAGUAGAUUAGUCACUGAUCAAGCAAUUAUUACCUCCCGAUUUCUAAUUAACUUAAGCAAUUGGUUAAUACUCGCUUAUCUCC
rnacentral:lncRNA from 1 species